CUACGUGCCAGCAGCCGCGGUAAUACGGAAGGUCCAGGCGUUAUCCGGAUUUAUUGGGUUUAAAGGGAGCGUAGGCGGACGAUUAAGUCAGCUGUGAAAGUUUGCGGCUCAACCGUAAGAUUGCAGUUGAAACUGGUUGUCUUGAGUGCACGCAGGGAUGUUGGAAUUCAUGGUGUAGCGGUGAAAUGCUUAGAUAUCAUGAAGAACUCCGAUCGCGAAGGCAUAUGUCCGGAGUGCAACUGACGCUGAGGCUCGAAAGUGCGGGUAUCGAACAGGAUUAGAUACCCUGGUAGUCCGCACAGUAAACGAUGAAUACUCGCAGUAUGCGAUAUAAUGUAUGCUGCCAAGUGAAAACGUUAAGUAUUCCACCUGGGGAGUACGCCGGCAACGGUGAAACUCAAAGGAAUUGACGGGGGCCCGCACAAGCGGAGGAACAUGUGGUUUAAUUCGAUGAUACGCGAGGAACCUUACCCGGGCUUGAAC
rnacentral:rRNA from 1 species